rnacentral:rRNA from 1 species
ACGGAAUAGUGAGCAAUUACUAUUCAGUGGCGGAAGGGUUAGUAAUACCUGGGUAACGCACCCCUUGCUUGGGAAUAACGGCUGGAAACGGCCGCUAAUACCAAAUGUCGUGCGGUAAGGCAUCUUACCAGCAUGAAAGUGGGGGACCGCAAGGCCUCGCGGCAAAGGAGCGGCCCAUGCGAUAUCAGCUUGUUGGUGAGGUAAGAGCUCACCAAGG